rnacentral:rRNA from 1 species
GAUGAACGCUGACAGAAUGCUUAACACAUGCAAGUCAACUUGAACUUCGGUUUGGGUGGCGGUCGGGUGAGUAACGCGUAAAGAACUUGCCUCACAGAUAGGGACAACAUUUGGAAACGAAUGCUAAUACCUGAUAUUAUGAUUAUAUGGCAUCGUAUAAUUAUGAAAGCUAUAUGCGCUGUGAGAGAGCUUUGCGUCCCAUUAGCUAGUUGGAGAGGUAACGGCUCACCAAGGCGAUGAUGGGUAGCCGGCCUGAGAGGGUGAUCGGCCACAAGGGGACGGAGACACGGCCCGUACGCAUACGGGAGGCAGCAGUGGGGAAUAUUGGACAAUGGACCAAGUGUCUGAUGCAGCAAUUCUGUGUGCACGAUGAAGUUUUUCGGAAUGUAAAGUGCUUUCAGUUGGGAAGAAAAAAAUGACGGUACCAACAGAAGAAGUGACGGCUAAAUACGUG